AGAGUUUGAUCAUGGCUCAGGAUGAACGCUGGCGGCGUGCCUAAUACAUGCAAGUCGAGCGAACGGACGAGAAGCUUGCUUCUCUGAUGUUAGCGGCGGACGGGUGAGUAACACGUGGAUAACCUACCUAUAAGACUGGGAUAACUUCGGGAAACCGGAGCUAAUACCGGAUAAUAUUUUGAACCGCAUGGUUCAAAAGUGAAAGACGGUCUUGCUGUCACUUAUAGAUGGAUCCGCGCUGCAUUAGCUAGUUGGUAAGGUAACGGCUUACCAAGGCAACGAUGCAUAGCCGACCUGAGAGGGUGAUCGGCCACACUGGAACUGAGACACGGUCCAGACUCCUACGGGAGGCAGCAGUAGGGAAUCUUCCGCAAUGGGCGAAAGCCUGACGGAGCAACGCCGCGUGAGUGAUGAAGGUCUUCGGAUCGUAAAACUCUGUUAUUAGGGAAGAACAUAUGUGUAAGUAACUGUGCACAUCUUGACGGUACCUAAUCAGAAAGCCACGGCUAACUACGUGCCAGCAGCCGCGGUAAUACGUAGGUGGCAAGCGUUAUCCGGAAUUAUUGGGCGUAAAGCGCGCGUAGGCGGUUUUUUAAGUCUGAUGCGAAAGCCCACGGCUCAACCGUGGAGGGUCAUUGGAAACUGGAAAACUUGAGUGCAGAAGAGGAAAGUGGAAUUCCAUGUGUAGCGGUGAAAUGCGCAGAGAUAUGGAGGAACACCAGUGGCGAAGGCGACUUUCUGGUCUGUAACUGACGCUGAUGUGCGAAAGCGUGGGGAUCAAACAGGAUUAGAUACCCUGGUAGUCC
rnacentral:rRNA from 1 species